CCAAGCUGUGAGGCUCAAGAACACCAGGUGUGUAAAGCAAAGCAAAACAAAACAAUUAUUUACAACUUAAUUUAAACGUAACAAAUUAUUUCUUCAAAAUACAAAAAUAGGGAAACUAGAGAAAAGUAAUUUCAAAACUAGGGCCCUUCAGCUCAAAUUGAGGUCAGCUAAACAAACAGCAACCUAAACUGAACUCAACAUAACUGACCUGCCAAAUGACGCAAAGGGAGGGUUUAAUAUAUAAACACAAUAUAAAAUAAACACAAAGGCAACUCUUUAUGACAAAUUAACCUUAAUAUCAACAAAGAUUUCAAUCAAGAAAUGAUUUACAAUCAAACUAACUGUCCAACCAAGAAAAAACAAAAUUUUAAGUCCCAAAAUAAUUAAAGCUAACUAGUUCCCAAAAGGCAAACUUCCCUCUGGCAUGCCCGGUUGACCUCUUCCACUUCCUGCCUGCCACAGUAUAAGAGGCCCUCUUUACUGGAGCCACGUCUUUUGGCCAGGGGAGGACUUUCUGGAUCCAUGAAAAAAGAAAAGGGGCAGGUUCCUGAGCAUGCUAAUUAUCAGGAUGGGACACAGAAGCGGCCAGUUCAGAUCUCCCUUCUCUCCUCCACACAUUCCUGUGUUGCUUUUGGUUCUGUUUUUCUUGUUUCAUCAUACAACACCCACACAGCAUACAUUCACUCAUCCACUCCCUACACGACUGAUUUUACAGACUAACCCUACCUAGUAUCUUUUGUUUGUUUUGAGUACUUUGUGUUAAAUAAAUUUACUUUUGUAUUAUUG